rnacentral:rRNA from 1 species
AUUGAAAGCUGGCGGCAGGCCUAACACAUGCAAGUCGAGCGAGCGGAGGACGGGUGAGUAAUGUAUGGGGACUGCCCGAUAGAGGGGGAUAACUACUGGAAACGGUGGCUAAUACCGCAUACUUUCGGCUAACACAUAUGGGAUUAGCUAUGAGGUAAGGUUAUGGCUUACCUAGGCGACGAUCCCUAGCUGGUCUGAGCGGAUGAUCAGCCACACUGGGACUGAGACACGGCCCAUACUCCUACGGAUGCAGCAGUGUGGAAGAUUGCACAAUGGGCACAAGCCUUAUGCAGCCAUGCCGCUUGUAUGAAGAAGGCCCUAGGGUUGUAAAGUACUUGCAGUCGGGAGGCGUUACCUACAGAAGAAGCACCGGCUAACUCCGUGCCAGCAGCCUCGGUAAUAC